AUUGAACGCUGGCGGCAGGCCUAACACAUGCAAGUCGAGCGAGUGGCGGACGGGUGAGUAAUGUCUGGGAAUCUUCCUGAUGGAGGGGGAUAACUACUGGAAACGGUAGCUAAUACCGCAUACCAUCGGAUGUUCCCAUAUGGGAUUAGCUUGUAGGUGGGGUAACGGCUCACCUAGGCGACGAUCCCUAGCUGGUCUGAGAGGAUGACCAGCCACACUGGGACUGAGACACGGUCCAGACGCCUACGGGAGGCAGCAGUGGGGAAUAUUGCACAAUGGGCGCAAGCCUGAUGCAGCCAUGCCGCGUGUAUGAAGAAGGCCUUCGGGUUGUAAAGUACUUUCAGUCGGGAGGCGUUACCAACAGAAGAAGCACCGGCUAACUCCGUGCCAGCCGCCGCGGUAAUAC
rnacentral:rRNA from 1 species